rnacentral:ncRNA from 2 species
GCAUUGUCGAACAAUCGUGGUUCUGCGGCUCGUCUGACGACAGGCCGGAGCUAAGAGGGAAUUCGGUGCGGCGCUGCAAGGCGCUCAUGCCGGAGCUGCCCCCGCAACUGUAAGCGGCGAGCGGUCGUCCAAUGAUGUCACUGAGGGAGACGCCUCGGGAAGACGGGACGGUUCGUGUUGACCCGCAAGCCAGGAGACCUGCCGCGAUAGAUAACGUCCA